rnacentral:snoRNA from 1 species
GAACUGGUGCGGUAUUAAGCAUCUCCUUAUAUCGCUCCCAGGCUUCACAGAAUGUUUCUCCUGAUUGUUGAGAGAAUUGAGAUAGAGCAUUUCGUAGUGC